GGAGGGUGCGAGCGUUGUCCGGGAUCACUGGGCGUAAAGGGCGCGUAGGCGGCACAGUAAGUAGGUGGUGAAAUCUCACGGCUCAACCGUGAAACGGCCUCCUAAACUGCUGAGCUCGAGCACGGUAGAGGCAGAUGGAAUUCCCGGUGUAGCGGUGGAAUGCGUAGAUAUCGGGAAGAACACCAGUGGCGAAGGCGGUCUGCUGGGCCGUUGCUGACGCUGAGGCGCGACAGCGUGGGGGGAGCAAACAGGAUUAGAUACCCUGGUAGUCCACGCCGUAAACGAUGGGUACUAGGCGUCGGGGGGGAGCGACCCCUUCGGUGCCGUCGCUAACGCAGUAAGUACCCCGCCUGGGGAGUACGGCCGCAAGGCUG
rnacentral:rRNA from 1 species